GAUGAACGCUGGCGGCGUGCCUAAUACAUGCAAGUCGAGCGAAUGGAUUAAGAGCUUGCUCUUAUGAAGUUAGCGGCGGACGGGUGAGUAACACGUGGGUAACCUGCCCAUAAGACUGGGAUAACUCCGGGAAACCGGGGCUAAUACCGGAUAACAUUUUGAACCGCAUGGUUCGAAAUUGAAAGGCGGCUUCGGCUGUCACUUAUGGAUGGACCCGCGUCGCAUUAGCUAGUUGGUGAGGUAACAGCUCACCAAGGCAACGAUGCGUAGCCGACCUGAGAGGGUGAUCGGCCACACUGGGACUGAGACACGGCCCAGACUCCUACGGGAGGAAGCAGUAGGGAAUCUUCCGCAAUGGACGAAAGUCUGACGGAGCAACGCCGCGUGAGUGAUGAGGGCUUUCGGGUCGUAAAACUCUGUUGUUAGGGAAGAACAAGUGCUAGUUGAAUAAGCUGGCACCUUGACGGUACCUAACCAGAAAGCCACGGCUAACUACGUGCCAGCCGCCGCAGUAA
rnacentral:rRNA from 1 species